GAUGAACGCUGGCGGCGUGCCUAAUACAUGCAAGUCGAGCGAACGGACGAGAAGCUUGCUUCUCGGAUGUUAGCGGCGGACGGGUGAGUAACACGUGGAUAACCUACCUAUAAGACUGGGAUAACUUCGGGAAACCGUAGCUAAUACCGGAUAAUAUUUUGAACCGCAUGGUUCAAAAGUGAAAGACGGUCUUGCUGUCACUUAUAGAUGGAUCCGCGCUGCAUUAGCUAGUUGGUAAGGUAACGGGUUACCAAGGCAACGAUGCAUAGCCGACCGGAGAGGGGGAUCGGCCACACGGGAACUGAGACACGCUCCAGACUCCUAAGGGAGGCAGCAGUAGGGAAUCUUCCGCAAUGGGCGAAAGCCUGACGGAGCAACGCCGCGUGAGUGAUGAAGGUCUUCGGAUCGUAAAACUCUGUUAUUAGGGAAGAACAUAUGUGUAAGUAACUGUGCACAUCUUGACGGUACCUAAUCAGAAAGCCACGGCUAACUACGUG
rnacentral:rRNA from 1 species